rnacentral:rRNA from 1 species
UACGUAGGGUGCGAGCGUUAAUCGGAAUUACUGGGCGUAAAGCGUGCGCAGGCGGCUUUGCAAGACAGAUGUGAAAUCCCCGGGCUCAACCUGGGAACUGCAUUUGUGACUGCAAGGCUAGAGUACGGCAGAGGGGGAUGGAAUUCCGCGUGUAGCAGUGAAUGCGUAGAUAUGCGGAGGAACACCAAUGGCGAAGGCAAUCCCCUGGGCCUGUACUGACGCUCAUGCACGAAAGCGUGGGGAGCAAACAGG